GGGUUGUGAGGUUAAGCGACUAAGCGUACACGGUGGAUGCCCUGGCAGUCAGAGGCGAUGAAGGGCGUGCUAAUCUGCGAUAAGCGCCGGUAAGGUGAUAUGAACCGUUAUAACCGGCGAUACCCGAAUGGGGAAACCCAGUGUGACUCGUCACACUAUCAUUAACUGAAUCCAUAGGUUAAUGAGGCGAACCGGGGGAACUGAAACAUCUAAGUACCCCGAGGAAAAGAAAUCAACCGAGAUUCCCCCAGUAGCGGCGAGCGAACGGGGAGGAGCCCAGAGCCUGAAUCAGCAUGUGUGUUAGUGGAAGCGUCUGGAAAGGCGCGCGAUACAGGGUGACAGCCCCGUACACAAAAGCGCAUGUGCUGUGAGCUCGAUGAGUAGGGCGGGACACGUGGUAUCCUGUCUGAAUAUGGGGGGACCAUCCUCCAAGGCUAAAUACUCCUGACUGACCGAUAGUGAACCAGUACCGUGAGGGAAAGGCGAAAAGAACCCCGGCGAGGGGAGUGAAAAAGAACCUGAAACCGUGUACGUACAAGCAGUGGGAGCACCCUUUGGGUGUGACUGCGUACCUUUUGUAUAAUGGGUCAGCGACUUAUAUUCUGUAGCAAGGUUAACCGAAUAGGGGAGCCGGAGGGAAACCGAGUCUUAACCGGGCGUUAAGUUGCAGGGUAUAGACCCGAAACCCGGUGAUCUAGCCAUGGGCAGGUUGAAGGUUGGGUAACACUAACUGGAGGACCGAACCGACUAAUGUUGAAAAAUUAGCGGAUGACCUGUGGCUGGGGGUGAAAGGCCAAUCAAACCGGGAGAUAGCUGGUUCUCCCCGAAAGCUAUUUAGGUAGCGCCUCGUGAAUUCAUCUCCGGGGGUAGAGCACUGUUUCGGCUAGGGGGCCAUCCCGGCUUACCAACCCGAUGCAAACUGCGAAUACCGGAGAAUGUUAUCACGGGAGACACACGGCGGGUGCUAACGUCCGUCGUGAAGAGGGAAACAACCCAGACCGCCAGCUAAGGUCCCAAAGUCAUGGUUAAGUGGGAAACGAUGUGGGAAGGCCCAGACAGCCAGGAUGUUGGCUUAGAAGCAGCCAUCAUUUAAAGAAAGCGUAAUAGCUCACUGGUCGAGUCGGCCUGCGCGGAAGAUGUAACGGGGCUAAACCAUGCACCGAAGCUGCGGCAGCGACACUGUGUGUUGUUGGGUAGGGGAGCGUUCUGUAAGCCUGUGAAGGUGUGUCGUGAGGCAUGCUGGAGGUAUCAGAAGUGCGAAUGCUGACAUAAGUAACGAUAAAGCGGGUGAAAAGCCCGCUCGCCGGAAGACCAAGGGUUCCUGUCCAACGUUAAUCGGGGCAGGGUGAGUCGACCCCUAAGGCGAGGCCGAAAGGCGUAGUCGAUGGGAAACGGGUUAAUAUUCCCGUACUUGGUGUUACUGCGAAGGGGGGACGGAGAAGGCUAUGUUGGCCGGGCGACGGUUGUCCCGGUUUAAGCGUGUAGGUGUGUGUUCCAGGUAAAUCCGGUUCACUUUAACACUGAGGCGUGACGACGAGGCACUACGGUGCUGAAGCAACAAAUGCCCUGCUUCCAGGAAAA
rnacentral:rRNA from 1 species